GGCGGGGUGGCAGAGGGGCUAUGCGACGGGCUGCAGACCCGUUGAGCCGGGUUCGAGUCCCGGCCCCGCCUCCA
rnacentral:tRNA from 2 species